CCUACGGGUGGCAGCAGUGGGGAAUUUUGGACAAUGGACGCAAGUCUGAUCCAGCAAUGCCGCGUGCAGGAUGAAGGCCUUCGGGUUGUAAACUGCUUUUGUACGGAGCGAAAAGGUCUACCCUAAUACGGUGGGCCCAUGACGGUACCGUAAGAAUAAGCACCGGCUAACUACGUGCCAGCAGCCGCGGUAAUACGUAGGGUGCAAGCGUUAAUCGGAAUUACUGGGCGUAAAGCGUGCGCAGGCGGUUAUAUAAGACAGAUGUGAAAUCCCCGGGCUCAACCUGGGACCUGCAUUUGUGACUGUAUAGCUAGAGUACGGUAGAGGGGGAUGGAAUUCCGCGUGUAGCAGUGAAAUGCGUAGAUAUGCGGAGGAACACCGAUGGCGAAGGCAAUCCCCUGGACCUGUACUGACGCUCAUGCACGAAAGCGUGGGGAGCAAACAGGAUUAGAUACCCCAGUAGUC
rnacentral:rRNA from 1 species